rnacentral:rRNA from 1 species
AUGGAUUUCUGCUUUUUGGUUCCAGGUAUAUGUGUUGCACUUGCCCUCUGUAUCGCUGUGCCAAGAGCUAGCAAGAACCGUUUCUUUAAUUACGCAUUUUUGCGAUACACUGUAAUUAUCAUCAUACUGAACUGCUUUCAAUCCACACAGGGUGGGGGGCAGCCUGCUCUACAAUACGUUGCUUGUGGCGUGAUUAGUUUUGUUGCUGUUCACUGUUUGUGGAAUGUAGAAGUAAAACAGCCGAUGAGUGAAGUGUGGGAUUGGAACAUGUAUGGAACCAAACUGAAGUUUCAUGGAUGGUUUAUUAACACUGCCAAUGAGGAUGGUGACGGAGGUGAGGAUGAUGCUUCAUUUGCCUCGGAGCAUUCCGAUGAUGAAGAUUUGACGGAGGUGUCAAUUUUACGUGUGGUGCAAGUGUUGGCCAUUCGUGCAAACUUCCGUAUCAGCCGUAUGAACGCCCAUGACUGGUACCAAAGUUUUGUCAUCUAUACGGCGCUCGAGGGGGAAGUACAAGAGGAAGGAAUGGAUUUGGUACUCACUGGACCAUGUGGGAUACUACAGGCUUACGGUGGCAUUUGCUUGGAGGUUUUCACAGAAGACCUGGUUUUCACAGAAGACGAUGAGGGGUCUUCUACUGAUGAUGAGGGGUCUUGGGGCGGUCAUUUCCGCCGAGGCUGGGAUGUUACUGAUCCUGAUGAAGUUGAGGAAUUCACACAAACCAUCUAUGGAGGCCUUGGCCGCAAGUUGGAGAUCACAUAUUUGGUGAUUCCGGAAGCAGUUGAGACCUAUGUUGAGGUCAGGUUGAACCUCAAAGACUUCGGUUUGAGAAGCCGCUCUGUGUAUGGUAGCGUCAAGGCAAUUGCCGUUGACUAUGGGAGCAAAAGCGUCAAUCUCUUCAGUUUUGAACGAGGCAGUAGCUUGUCCCUACCCUGUGGUUCCACGUGCAUUCUUCCACUGGGACCACACAUGAUUGCAUUGCCUAAAGGUAGAUAG